rnacentral:rRNA from 1 species
CCCUUAGAUGUUCUGGGCCGCACGCGCGCUACACUGACGAAGUCGGCGAGCAUCUCCUACGCCGAAAGGUGCGGGGAAUCUUGUGAAACUUUGUCGUGCUGGGGAUUGAUUUUUGAAAUUCUUGAUCAUCAACGAGGAAUUCCUAGUAAGCGCAAGUCAGCAGCUUGCGUUGAUUACGUCCCUGCCCUUUGUACACACCGCCCGUCGCUACUACCGAUUGAAUGGUUUAGUGAGAUUUUUGGACUGGAACUCUCUUGUUCAGCAAUGAACGAGAGGGACUCUGGGAAGCUAUUCUAACUGUAUCAUUUAGAGGAAGUAAAAGUCGUAACA